UACGAAGGGUGCAAGCGUUAAUCGGAAUUACUGGGCGUAAAGCGUGCGUAGGCGGUUUCUUAAGUCGGAUGUGAAAUCCCUCGGCUUAACCAAGGAAGUGCAUCCGAAACUACAGAGCUUGAGUACUUAAGAGGAUCGCGGAAUUCCCGGUGUAGAGGUGAAAUUCGUAGAUAUCGGGAGGAACACCAGUGGCGAAGGCGGCGAUCUGGGAAGAUACUGACGCUGAGGUGCAAAAGCGUGGGGAGCAAACAGG
rnacentral:rRNA from 1 species